UGGGGAAUUUUGGACAAUGGGCGCAAGCCUGAUCCAGCCAUGCCGCGUGCGGGAAGAAGGCCUUCGGGUUGUAAACCGCUUUUGUCAGGGAAGAAAUCUUCUGAGUUAAUACCUCGGGAGGAUGACGGUACCUGAAGAAUAAGCACCGGCUAACUACGUGCCAGCAGCCGCGGUAAUACGUAGGGUGCAAGCGUUAAUCGGAAUUACUGGGCGUAAAGCGUGCGCAGGCGGUUUUGUAAGACAGAGGUGAAAUCCCCGGGCUCAACCUGGGAACUGCCUUUGUGACUGCAAGGCUUGAGUGCGGCAGAGGGGGAUGGAAUUCCGCGUGUAGCAGUGAAAUUGCGUAGAUAUGCGGAGGAACACCGAUGGCGAAGGCAAUCCCCUGGGCCUGCACUGACGCUCAUGCACGAAAGCGUGGGGAGCAAAACAGGAUUAGA
rnacentral:rRNA from 1 species